rnacentral:rRNA from 1 species
GAUGAACGCUAGCUACAGGCUUAACACAUGCAAGUCGAGGGGCAGCGGUAUCGAAAGCUUGCUUUCGGUAGCCGGCGACCGGCGCACGGGUGAGUAACGCGUAUCGAACCUGCCUCAUACUCGGGAAUAGCCUUGCGAAAGUAAGAUUAAUGCCCGGUGUUUUCAGAGUCCCGCAUGAGGCUUUGAACAAAGAUUUAUCGGUAUGAGAUGGCGAUGCGUCUCAUUAGCUUGUUGGCGGGGAAACGGACCACCAAGGCAUCGAUGGGUAGGGGUUCUGAGAGGAAGGUCCCACACAUUGGAACUGAGACACGGUCCAAACUCCUACGGGAGGCAGCAGUAAGGAAUAUUGGUCAAUGGGCGGAAGCCUGAACCAGCCAAGUAGCGUGCAGGAAGACGGCCCUCCGGGUUGUAAACUGCUUUUAGUUGGGAAUAAAACGGGGCUCGUGAGCCCCCUUGCAUGUACCAUCAGAAAAAGGACCGGCUAAUUCCGUGCCAGCAGCCGCCGUAA